rnacentral:rRNA from 1 species
UACGGAGGGUGCGAGCGUUGUUCGGAAUCACUGGGCGUAAAGAGCUCGUAGGCGGCUUGGCAAGUCGGGUGUGAAAACUUCAGGCUCAACCUGGAGCGGCCACUCGAUACUGCCAUGGCUUGAGUCCGGUAGGGGACCACGGAAUUCCUGGUGUAGCGGUGAAAUGCGCAGAUAUCAGGAGGAACACCAGUGGCGAAGGCGGCACUCUGGGCCGGUACUGACGCUGAGGAGCGAAAGCGUGGGGAGCGAACAGG